GACAGAGGGGGCAAGCGUUGCUCGGAAUUACUGGGCGUAAAGGGCGCGUAGGCGGGCUGGCAAGUCAGUCGUGAAAUCUCUCGGCUCAACCGAGAAACGUCGGCUGAUACUGCCGUUCUUGAGGGAUGCAGAGGAGACUGGAAUUCCCGGUGUAGCGGUGAAAUGUGUAGAGAUCGGGAGGAACACCGGUGGCGAAGGCGGGUCUCUGGGCAUCUCCUGACGCUGAGGCGCGAAAGCGUGGGGAGCAAACGGG
rnacentral:rRNA from 1 species